UAGGGAAUCUUCCGCAAUGGGCGAAAGCCUGACGGAGCAACGCCGCGUGAGUGAUGAAGGUCUUCGGAUCGUAAAACUCUGUUAUUAGGGAAGAACAAAUGUGUAAGUAACUAUGCACGUCUUGACGGUACCUAAUCAGAAAGCCACGGCUAACUACGUGCCAGCAGCCGCGGUAAUACGUAGGUGGCAAGCGUUAUCCGGAAUUAUUGGGCGUAAAGCGCGCGUAGGCGGUUUUUUAAGUCUGAUGUGAAAGCCCACGGCUCAACCGUGGAGGGUCAUUGGAAACUGGAAAACUUGAGUGCAGAAGAGGAAAGUGGAAUUCCAUGUGUAGCGGUGAAAUGCGCAGAGAUAUGGAGGAACACCAGUGGCGAAGGCGACUUUCUGGUCUGUAACUGACGCUGAUGUACGAAAGCGUGGGGAUCAAACAGG
rnacentral:rRNA from 2 species